CCUCUUUACUUUCCUUUUUCUGCUCGUUUGCUUUCUGUUCUUUUGCCAAAAGUCGAUAAUUGAUGCCCAUGCCAAUGAAGAGAUAGAUACCUGAAAUAAUUAGGACGACGCCACAUGCCCAGUAUGUGUAUUUGUAGUCUCCAUACAUGUCAUUGAGCCGACCUAAAUAUGUAAAACAACACAAACAGUUGUUUCUAAGAGUAAACAGUUUUUUUUUCCCCCAAGCAAAGCUUAAGGAUCCAUUCAGAAAGAUGUCAAUCCAAUCUUUAAAGAGUCCCAAAAUGAUGAAUUAGUAUAAGGAAUUGCUGAAAAUUAGCUGAUCCUCUGUUUAUAAUGCAUCAUGGAUUUUAAGUGGCCUUUGCAUAUUCUGUUAUUUUUAGUAACUUGAAAAUAGUUAACUCUUGGCAAACUGGAAAUGGAAGAGACGUAGUGAUCACCUAGAGUCAAUUCUCUUAAUACACUAUAGAAAUAAGUGUUGCUA
rnacentral:lncRNA from 1 species